CCUACGGGAGGCAGCAGUGGGGAAUAUUGCACAAUGGGGGCAACCCUGAUGCAGCGACGCCGCGUGAGUGAAGAAGUAUCUCGGUACGUAAAGCUCUAUCAGCAGGGAAGAAAAUGACGGUACCUGACUCAGAAGCCCCGGCUAACUACGUGCCAGCAGCCGCGGUAAUACGUAGGGGGCACGCGUUAUCCGGAUUUACUGGGGGGAAAGGGAGCGUAGACGGCAGCACAAGUCUGGAGUGAAAUCGCGGGGCUUAACCCCGGAACUGCUUUGGAAACUGUGUGGCUGGAGUGCAGGAGGGGUAGGCGGAAUGCCUAGUGUAGCGGUGAAAUGCGUAGAUAGUAGGAGGAACACCGGUGGCGAAGGCGGCUUACUGGACUGUAACUGACGUUGAGGCUCGAAAGCGUGGGGAGCAAACAGGAUUAGAUACCCCAGUAGUC
rnacentral:rRNA from 1 species